rnacentral:misc_RNA from 1 species
AAAAUAAACUAUGGCGCCUAGUCUGAAGAAGAUAAACUUCUGAGAGAAAUUAAUUAGUUUUUAUUGAACAGUGCCCUAUCAAAAUUUAUACCGAAGUCGGUAUAAGUUGCUUCGAAUGGGAAGAUGAGCUUACCCGAGAAGUAGGCUGCUAUAAGCAGUGAACGCAAGGAGAGCAGUCCGCCGAACUACUUGAAACAACCCUUUAUAUAGUGCUAGUAAACAAAUAUGGCGUCAAGAAAGCGAGGUAGACCAUUUGGUGCUCAAUUGACCUUAUCUGAAAGAAAAGAGCGUAAAAGGAAGUCGGAAAGAGAAAGAAGCAGAGAGAAGAUUUAUAUAGGGGAACAUUCUGAGCGAUGGAACAGAUUAAAGGACCAGCUGAAGUUUACAUUCAACUUUGAAUUGGCAGGGUUUCUGCUUGAUAGGUAUGAUCAAAGCCAGCCGACAGUUGAACAUGAUGUAGCCUCUUCAACCCCUAUGCAUUGCCAGGCAGGUACAUCAAGGCUUUUUAAAGAACAGUUCAUGCAGCCAAUCAUUUCUGAUAUUUCUGCAGCAGACUCAGGAAAUGCAGCCUCCGAUCCAGGGGUUUCAGGUGUUGAGGAACUUGAACCAGGUCCAUCAAGCAGUAAAAAGAGCAAAGGAACAUUUAAGUAUGCCUCAUCAUUCCUGAACCCAUUAGAAUUAAGUAUCGACAUAACGGAGGAAUCUGAUGCCUUGGAAGGGAGUGAUGAUGAAACAUACUACCCGAGUUUCAACAUAUCAAUUGGACCACGAGAUGUUACAGGCAUUGAGGACUGUCCGUGUGAAGAGGCAGUGUUCCCAAGAGAAGAUGAUGACGAAGAGGAGGUUGACAAGGAAGAAGCAGAAAUUGGUCCGUCAAUAUGCAGAGGUCUAUGUCCUGAUGAUUUUGACCAGCUUUUAGACAGUCAUACUGCCCUCGUAUACCUGCAGCAGCUGAAAACCCUAGCUAUGAAGAAGGUAGACCCAUUGUGCAAGGUCAAGGGGUGUGGUGGAGUUCUUGACAUUGGGAUAAAGCAUAUAGGCUCUGCAGUGUAUUUAAAAUGGAUAUGUCCAAACUCUCAUGUAGCGGAAACAUGGUGCUCCCAGCCAGUCUUGAACCGAGGGUGGAGACCUGCUUAUUUCCUCUGCCAUUUUAUUUUCUGGAAAUAAUUUCAACAAAAUUGAAUUAUUUGCCAAAAUUCUUCAUAUGGGCCUUCCAAGUCAGUCUUCCUUCACCAAGCUUCAGAGGAAAUAUUUGGUGCCUGCUGUUGAUGACCUUUGGGAGGAAAAGCAGGGAGAAAUGACAGCAGAGAUGGCAGACAAAGAUCUUGUACUUCUUGGAGAUGGCAGGAUGGAUAGUCCAGGACACUGUGCAAGAAAAUCAUAUCUGUCAAAACAAUGGACAAAAGAGAAACUGAGCGAAAAAGUGCAAACCUGGAGAAAUUAGGCUUCAUUAGAGGAAUGCAAGAUGUCCGUGAAAGAGGGUUGCAAGUAAAAGAAGUUGUGACAGAUGCCCACCUCCAGAUAGGUGCCAUGAUGAAAAAAGACUACAAAGAAGUUAAACAUAGUCAUGAUAUAUGGCACGCUGCGAAGAACCUUGGCAAAAAGCUGAUUGCAGCUGGGCAAGAUAAAAACUGCAGAGAGCUUCAAAAGUGGUCCAAGGACAUUGUAAACCAUUUCUGGUAUACAUGUAAAAUUGCAAAUGACUUGGAUGAGUUCAUGGGAAUAUGGGCAGGUGUUCUCCACCAUGUUUUUGGAGAACAUGAAUGGUUUUUGCCAUACAGCGAUGCUGGACCAAGCUCCUGCAGACACGAUUCCAUCAGUGAGGAUACAAUGCGGGACAAAGAGUGGAUGAAGAAAGGCAGCCCACCCCGCGAGGCACUCAAAAAAAAUUGUCCUUGACAAACGAUUUCUUCACAAUAUCCCAUACUAUCUCAAUUUCAGAAGUACAGCGGAGCUGGAGAGCUACCAUAACCACAUGCUAAUGUACUCCUCCAAGAGGUAUGCUUAUACCCCACCAGUGUACAGAGCAAGGAGUAUUUUGGCUGCUUUGGAUUAUAAUGAAAAUGUGAACAGGGAGCCAAUAAUGAAUAGAGAUGGGACAAUCAGACUGCAGAGGACGUACAAUAAGAAGUCUGGGCGAUGGUCGGUGUACCCAGUGAAGGAAAGAAAGAAGUAUGGUCAUGUGUCCAUUCUUUUACAAAAAGUCCUAGAAAAACAAAUUGCAGACAGAGAGGGAUUUCAUGGACGACUUGAUUUAGAAGAAGAUGACCCAAGAAGAAUUUCCAAGACGGUGCAAAACAAUUCACUAUGUCAAUUAAAAGCAUAGCUUUUCCUACAACAGUUGAAAGAGUAGACAACAAUACAUGUAUUUUUUUCUCUUUCCAAAUUCUAUGUUAACAUGAUUGUAUAUCACUGUAGUUUAUAUGUGUGUCUCUUUGACAGUUUUGUCUGUGUAAUAGUUGUCAUGUUCAUUUAUUUAUUACAUAGAUAUACAGUAAAACACAGUUAUAACGAAGCACCAGGGACGGGCGAUUUUGCUUCGUUAUAAGCGUAAUUCGUUAUAUUCGUCAAGUCUUCAACAUGUAAUAUAGUCACGGGGAAUGAAAAUCACUUCGUUAUAUUCGUCAAUUCAUUAUAAGCGUGUUCGCUAUAACCUUGUUUUACUGUAUGCUCAAUACACUGUGCAUAUAGUAUUGGCAUGUGAUCAUUGACUUAUAUAGAGUAUAAAUUUGUGCUAGUUACAACUGCUGAAAAUGUUUUAUAGUUGCAUGUGUAUAUCUGUUGUGGACAUGAUAGCUUAAGAUUGUUUGAUGGUGUUAACUUUGUCUGCUGUCAGAAAUGUAGUCUCAGGGAGGUUUAAAUAUAUCGCCAUGCAUUUCAUAUUCAUCAACACAGUUGUUUUUAUAACCCUGCUCAGAGGGGGGGGGGGGGGUUAUACCGUUUCUUCCUUAUUUGUAUGCCAGUCUGUCCACAACAAAUUUCUGUCAUAUUUUCCUCAGCAACUAGUAAUUGCAGAUGCUUGAAAAAUUUAACACUCUUUGUUUAGGUGAUGCCAUAUGGUGGGUAUUUCAUUUUGUAUAAAUCGGGCAUUAAUUUCCUGUUAAAUGAUAACUUAAAAUUUCAUACUAGUAAAUUUUUUGAAAGAAUUCUCUCAAAUUGGAUAUUUUAACACACUCUUGGUUUAGGUUUUUCAUAUAAUGGAACUCAUUUUUACACAAAUGCAAUAUCAAUUCCUUGUCAAUUUAACUGUUGACUUUGCUUAUUUUGAAUUAUUCUCACCAGAACUGUUAUAUCACUAGUGAGCAUUGAUUCACAGAUAUCUUCUUCACUUUGGAAAUUGUCUGUACUAUUAUUUGUAAUUAUGAUAUAUAUUGACAUUAAUCUGUAAUUCAUAGUAAUUAUGGUUUAGAAUGUCAAGAGAGUUACUAAAAUCAUAAAAAGAAAGUACC